rnacentral:lncRNA from 1 species
CACCUGAAGACAAUGGACCUCACAGGUGUUUGCCAAUUGUCUCAACUGAGAUACUUAAAGGUUGAUGAUAGGAUAUACUAUUCAGAGCGUUCAAUUGUGCUACCAAGUGAAAUUGGGAGGAUGCGACAUUUGGAGAGGCUGGAAAUACCUAAUAUAUGCAUUUGUAGCAUUCCAUCAGACAUUGUUGACUUGCCACGCUUGUCACAUCUCAUCUUGUCAGAUGAUACAAGUUUGCCGGACGGGAUUGGGAAAAUGAAAUCUCUGCGUACGUUGAGGUCAUUUUUAUUAGCAGAGAGCUCACCAGAGGAUAUUAAGGGCCUCGGCCAACUCAACAAGCUAGAAGACUUGGAGGUGCGGUGCCACGGAGAAAGAUACAACCACAAGCAUAGGCCGAAACGAAUGGAUAGUGAUACGCCGACUGCUAUAUGGAUGGAUGCUCUGAUUUUUUCCCUGGAGAAACUAAGUAACCUCAAAAGGUUUUGCCUGUCAUCUGAAUUUACUGCUGUCGGAGCCGAUGCCCUGCUCUUGCUUUCAACUCCUUUCCAAAAUCUCAAGGUGCUCUAUCUGCACGGACUGAUCUUCUCUAGAGUUCCUAGGUGGAUCGGAGGUCUCCAAAAGCUUUGUCUGUUGACACUCGGAGCAAAGCAGAUGACCCAGGAAGAUAUUAACAUCAUUGGAACACUGCCCUAUCUCACCGGCCUCUGGCUGCGGAUCUCAGGCAUGCCAACAGGCACGAUCGUGAUAGGUGGGACCACAGGGUUCAACGCUCUCGAGCUUUUUGCGUACGACUGUGAUGUUAUGUCAUAUCUGGCAUUUGAGGACGGAGCUAUGCCCAGCCUCCGGGAGCUCGAUUUAGUACUGGAUCCACAUAAAUGGGACAAGGUUACACCUCUUGGUCUCCAAUGUCUUUCGAACCUCAAGAAAAUAACUGUAUGGACGGUUGCCACCAGUUAUAGCAACGACGCAGGAGCGGGUGACAAAGAAUCAGAGGAGAUGUCUGCGGCUGCGUUGGUCCGCAAGGUGUUUCAGGGAGCAGCCGACUCACAUCCGAGUCACCCAGCAUUUGACGAAGGGAAUUUUCAUAGGUAUGCAAAAUUUAUUACAGAUCUAUUAUAUGCAUUUGCAUGCUUUUGUUUGUACUUGCAGUAAGUUUCGUUUCGUUCUGUAUAUACAAUGAGUACUGACGGGUAAACAUACUGGCCACUGACACUGUAGGCCGGCAGAGCAGGCACAAGAGUAGAAGACGGAUGCAUGGAACACGGUGCAGAGUUAUUGGGACUCUAUGCCAUAUCACGCAUUCAUGCUGCUGCUAUCUUCCAUGUUGCCUCGCACUAAUCCUUCUAGUCAUAACGCCAUUUCAUUUCAUCUGACGGUUUUUCCCCUGCAAUUGCAAGGGCCGUAUGCUGUGUAAAUCUUUGAGAAAUUUAUUUUGUUGUAUCUACUUUCAGAAACAAUGGCUUGUUUUUUGUCAACAGAAGUAAAUUUUUCUGCUAAUUGUACGUGACGGACUUAUACGGUAGGCUCUUCGUUUUUUGCUUGGUUAUUAAUAAUAACACCAUAACCAUGUACGAGCCUAUAACUUGGCUCCAAUAUAUCCUCCUGUACAAUCCGUUUAUCAUAUAUCCGGAUUUAUGUACACUAAUAGCUCUGUGGACAAUCUUUUCCAUGUAACUAGUGGUAUAUAUCUAUUUAAUUCUGCUUAUUAGUUUCCCUAACUGUUAUCUCCGUUGAAUACAUAGUCUCGUGUGCCACCGAGGGGGUAUCAUUUUCCAUUGUUAAAUAGCGCACCAGAAACAGUGCUGAAUGAAGAGUGCUGCCAGGCUGCACUGAAUUUUUCCCCCCUUCGGCUCGGAACAUAGUAGAAUUUUUUUGAGAGGAGGAGCACAGUAGAUAAGAUAGACUCUAUUUGGCAUAACUCAACUUCACUAGUAAAAUUAUUUUUUUUAGAAAAUGAGCAACUUUUUAGAUGAAGCUGGACUGUUUUGGAAAAAAUAUUUGGUAAAAUAGCUUCACCAACUACUUCUUGCAUAGAUGAGAGAGAGAAAUGAGGGAGAUAACUGCAAUAAGCUACUUUUUUAGCUUCAUCACAACUCAUAUCUUUGUGAGAGAAGAACAGAAAUAGUUUCACCCAUAAAGUUAUUUUAUAAAUAAGUGUUUGGUAAAAAAAAUAUAGCUUAAAGCAUCUCCAAUAGUUCGGUAUAAUUUAGUUGCUAAACUAAUUGAUUAAGCAAGUUAAUAAAAGAAAUAGCAACCCCAUAUUUUGUCCUUCUCCAACAGAUUUCUCUUUUUACUUUCUAAAAUCUAAAGUAGGAUCCAUAUAUCAUUAUUUUCGGAUCGAUUUGGAGCUAAUCCAUGCACACUGCCGCUGCCCUUUUGUCCCCCGUGUGUGAGUGCUCUGGCAGACGCUGGCGACCAUCACCUGUUGCAACCCAGCGACGGAGCCAACGGUGGGGCUGGUGGGGCUCCAGCCCUCCCUACGGCCGUAGAACCCACGUAGCCCUCCCUUAACCCCUUCUACAAAUUUUUAUCACUGAUGCUAUUUAAGAAGGGACUGAAGUUAUCUUAAGAUAACAGAAGCCUCCUCUAAAUUGUUGCAACAGUAGAACGCCUUAGCUAUGGCCUGAGCGCCUGGCCAUGCAUCUGGCUGUUACUCCAUGCCACCAUCAGGCACACAACCAGCAGCGUCAGAGUGGAAGGGCAGCGGCGGUCAAACUGAUGGCCGGCAGCAAAAUAGAUCAAGUCAACAAUAUAUUUCAGGCACAAACAAACUUGCGCAUAAAAAGUAUCAUGAAAACAGAUCUAAGGAGAAAAGAUAGAGAGUUCUUUCGACUUUAGAAAUUUAUGAAUUUAGAAUGAUAUUUAACUUUUUUUUAUGUUUAAGGAGCUCCUUUACCAAACCGUUGAAGAAAACUUUUUUUUUUAAGAUAGAGAGGAUUAGAGGAACCGAUAGUUCCUCCAAACACCAUAAAAUAUCUCAUAGUACAAUACUAACUUUAUGUGGGAUGGGCUCGUUGGGCUGUUGGACAUGUGCUGGCCGGCAAGAUGGUGCGUGACUCCCAGUUAGGGAUGAAAACGGAUCGGAUACGAACGGAUAUUACCAAUAUCAUAUUUGUUUUCAUAUUUCUGGUCGGAUUCGGAUUCGAAUACGGAUAAUGUCAAUCAUGUCGGAUAAGAUAGGAUUGGAUGUCUACAUCAUAAAUAUACGAUUUAAGUAUUCGAAUACGGAUACGGUAUCGGAUGUUGAAUAUUCGGACUCAGAUACGAACAUAUCUAAACCUCUCUAAACGAAUCGGUCUCGAAUACGAUCGGAAAAUAUCCGUACCAUUUUCAUCCCUACUCCCAGUGAACACGUAGUCUCAUCUGGCAUUGAGAGGCAAGCGGGCAUCAAAUCAAAUUGACAACCUAUAUAAACACACAAGUUUUGGUUUGUUAGAAAAUUAGGUAUCAAAUCAAUUUUAUUCCAUUAUCUGGGCACGCCCAGCACCUACAUGGCUCCACUGUUGGCUCCUCCUCUAACUAGCUACGGAGUAUGCUAGUUGCUAGCCAUAGUGGAUAUGAUAUGUCUCUGUUUCAUCUCCGGUGGCGGACGCAGAGCUCGUGUAUUUGUUUGUCAUCGCGAGAUUGUAGGUUGGGCGGGUUGUUAACAUAACCCGCUCGCUCGUCCCGUAAAAUUUGGCUUCGUGGUUAUUGCGGAUGGGCUGUAAUUUUUUCGUGGCCUAGUGACUCCAAUCCGCAAAGCCUGUUGGACGAACGAGCAAUCUCACAAAAACCCGCAAGAGCCCGCAAGAGUGAAGAGUAAAUAUAUACGUUAUGUCUUUAUUUAGUAAUAAUAACUUUUAUCAUAUGAUAUGUGUCCUUGUUUUUAUACAUGUAUUUCUUGAUGUUGUUAUAUUUGAGAACGUACAAUAUAUAGAUAGCCGCGAUAUGAAAAUUAAAAUGAUCAGUGCAAAGUUGUAUCAUCUGUGCAUUGAUUAACUGGAUAUAAAUGUUUAUCUUACAGAUUCUAAAUUCUUACAGUAUAUACGUGAAGAGAGACAGUAUCCACGUAGUCUCCAUAUAGUAUAGCGGGUCUUACGGGUUUAGCAGUCUAAUCUGUUAUGUCCGCGAAAAAUUUAUCCACGAAGUUUAUAACUUAGCGGCCUUGUCCUUCGGACGUGGGGUGCCGUCCGCAUCUGAAAGCCAGAAAACGGCUGUCUCUGAAAACAAAACGAUGUUGUAGUGAAACGACUUUGCUUUUUCCGUUUAGUUCACCCCGAAAUUCAAAAAAUUUUCAAGAUUCUCUGUCACAUCGAAUCUUGCGGCACAUGCAUGAAGCAUUAAAUAUAGACGAAAACAAAAACUAAUCACACAGUUUGACUGUAAAUCACGAGACGAAUCUUUUGACUCUAGUUAGUCUAUGAUUGAACAAUAUUUACCACAAACAAACGAAAGUGCUAUACUUCCGAAAACUUUUUAGUUUUCGGAACUAAAUAAGUCCGUAAACUCAGUGUGGCAUGCAAAUGCUACUAAAAUUGUAGACAAGCAUCAACCAGGCCAGCAGUCUACGUCGUCGCGCUCCUAUCGCCGGCGUACAUGGGGCCAUCCGUGGCAUAUCCUGGCCGGCGAGGAAAUGGGCCAGCACCGCCUUCUUCCGGGAGCUCAGCAUCCUCAUGACCUCCGGCCGGCGCUGGGGCUUGUCUUGGAUGCAGAGCAGGGCCACCCGGACACACCUCCUCAUCUCCUGCUUUGACAGCACCGUCCUCCUCAACCUUGUCGGCAACCAAUCCUGUGCAUAGUUGAGUUGUAAUUUAGCUCUAUGUAAUCCUAGGCAGUUAGUUAAUUGAUGCAAUUGUGUAAGAGCCGGACUCGUGCUGCGUUCACGAUGAGGUUCAGAGUCGCUACUCGCCACGACGCGUAUGAAAUACGUUCCCGUGCUCAAGACGGGCGCGGCGCAGCGCGAGCGUAUCGUGGCGGGGGACCCUGGCCAUUAGGCCUAUAAAUAAAGAGCAUUGUGUUCAGGUCUGGUCGCGCCAUAGCGGCUAAAAUCAAUCUGUGUUCUUCGUGUUCCUGCCUUUGAGCGAGCUAGAACGAAGCUAGGUUAGCCAAGCCGAGAAGUUCCUGAUCGCGAUCGGUGAUUAGCGCCAACAACAGUUACCAAGACUAUAAACUAGGUAACCGAGCCAUAUGAGUUUCAUGGGGAUGAAACUUCUCUCUCAUCCGAUGAAACUCCUUCAUUUAAUGAGCCUGCCAAGUCAGCAAUUUUGCUUAUGUGGCACCCUAUUUAAUGUGCAUGACACUCUCAUGAAACAUGCAUUGAGACUGGCCUAAGAAGAUGUUUGAUACAAACUUUAGUUCUUGUCACAUGAGAUGUUUAGAUGCUAAUCAUGAGUAUUAAAUAUAGAUUAAUUAUAAAGCUAUCUCUCCAUCCACGAAAGAAUCAAUUCCUAGAAUCCGUGCCAGUCAACGCAUCUAUGACAUAAAAUGUGCAUCCUAUAAAAAUAUAUUCUAUGAUGAUUUAAUGAUACUAAUUUGAUACCAUUAAUCUUAGCAUUUGUUUAUAGAAAUUUGGGCAAAGUCUAAAAAGUUUGACUUAGAACAACUCUAGAAAUUGAUUCUUUCGUGGACGGAGGAAGUAAUUGAAUAAAUGAAGGAUGAUUCGUGAAACAAAUCUAUUAUGCCUAAUUAGGUCAUCCUCAAUGGGGGUUUAAUGUUCCAUUUUCCAACACAUCCAUAUUUCCAAAACAGUGCAGAAGAGUUUUAUGAGGAUGAAACUCUCUCUAGCUAGUUCCAUGAAACUCUUAUCAUCCUUUCUUUAUUAAUACAGUGCCACAUUAGCAUAUAUAAUGUGCAUGAAACUCUGACGAAACUCCAUUAAGAUUGAUCUUAGUCCACAAUUAGCGAAUGUGAUGCUACAUAAACAUAUUCUACUCAUAGAUUAAUUAGGCUUAAUAAAUUUGUCUCGAAAAUUAGUCACGAUUUAUACAAUUAGUUUUAUAAUAACCUUAUGUUUAGUUCUCCUACUUGUCCCGCGAGUUAGUUCUUGCAUAUUUUCUAUGACAAAGGACUAAACUUUAGUCCCUAAAUUAAAUACCGCUUAAACAUUUCUCUGAUUCUCCCGCUACGGCCCAUGAUGGAAUUUGUUGGCGAUGCCCAUCGGAUGGAGCCGCUCAUGUCUUGUGCACGAAACAAAAAGCUGAGUGUGGGAGUGUACUACGGCCUCGCAGGCUAGAAACACCAACUAUAUCAGGUCCUAUCUCACUUCAAUCUUAUUUGAUGACUUCAUAUGGUGCAUGUUUUAAAUAAUGUACAUAUUUCAAAUAAUGACACUAAUACUAUUAUAGUACUUAAGAACGUACUCUAUGGCCAAUUUUAAAAAAGUGACAAGAGAGUUAAUGAAAGAUACAAUAAGCACAAGAGAUCCAACUUAAAUUGAGGAGAGAGAAAAACCCAUAGUAGUUGACAAAUAAAAUUUAGAUCCAUGAUUUAUAAGAUAUAUGAUGCAAUAAGAUCGACCAUGAUUAAUGUUUCAAAGUAAUUGCAUACGUAAAAUAUAUAGAUGUGUCAUGCAAAGGAAAAGUAUGGAUAUGGAUAAAAAUAUAUAUUAGUUUCUUGAAAAAGAGUAAUUAAUAAGUUAUUUAUGAUAAUUAAAAGUAAACUACAAAGCAUCUAUUAUAUGUCUGUUAUGUUAGAAAUUAAAAAAAUAAUUUAAGAUAAGUAAUUCUUUAGUAGUUAGAUGUACUCUCUCCAUUCUAAAUUAUAAGCCAUUUUGAGUUUUGUAACUACAUAGCUUUGAUUUUAUACUUAGACAUACUAUCUAUAUACAUAGUAAAAUUAAUAUAUCUAAAAAAAUCAAAACAUUUUAUAAUUUAGAACGAAGGGUUUAUUUUUUCAAAGAACCCAAAAGGAGUAUGUCGGGCAUAUAUUAAUAGAGAAGCAAUUAAAAAAAUUACAACCUCACGAAGGAGGCAACAACUGCAAGAAACGUAAAAACCAUGAUCCUCAAAAGCAACAGCUGUCAAAAGACACUCUGGACGUCAUCAGCACAAGCGACGUAAACUAGUAGGGAGAGUAGACUUCCACAGCAAUGCCUCCAAGGAGGGUAAUGACAUCCGUAGAUGCCGACAAUGUUGAAAGGAGAACCCGGGUUUUUCAACCAAACUCCUAUAGGGUAAGAGGGGUCUCACGACAAUGUCUCCAACGAGGAAUGUGCUACCAACGACAUCACCAUUGUCGGCCAAAACCAAAGGCCUUGCAGGGCUUUCGCCCGAAAAACCCCAACACCCAAGCCCAAACCAGUCACAUCGUGGACCACCACAGCUAACCGCCACUGAUAGGAGAUCGUUGUGUCAACGGCAAGGUCAAAGGCAUGCUUGACCUGCCACCACCACGCCAGCCCGCUACAGCCGCCUCCCUCCUACCUGGUACCAACAACCGUGAGUAGUCACAUCUUGUCCCUGCACCGAGCAAAGAGCACCGCCAACGCCAUUGCACAUCGACACCCCACAAGCUUCUAUAGAAACCAUGAACAUCCCCACACAAGCAGCCAUCUUCAACAAGCCGGCAUCCGCUGGUUGUCGCAGCGGCGACGAGCCAGCACAGGCAUUUGUGGCCAAUUGCAACUGCGCCGAUCGAUAGACCUCAACCAACUAGUAGAUACCAGCCCCCAAAAGAUCGCCCCUAUAGGAAGCAUGAUGUUGCACUAUCCACUUGUACAAGUGUCGCAACCGAACCCUUCCGAAGUACUCCAUAGAUAGCGGUAGUUAUGCAUUGUUGCCACCAACGUAACCAAAGUACCUCGCCAAGCAAAUGAGCCACCACGACCUUGCCAACAUUGACCAUCACUAAGCGAGGUCAACCGCAGAGGCUAGGACCAAGGUGAGUCGCCGUAGACUAGUUGCCGCUGCCGCACCGAAGACUGAUGCAGCGUCGGUCGUCGAACCAUCGUCAACCAGACCAACACCGGCGACCAUGGGAUGCUUCGGCAUGGAACGAGGUAACCCUGUGGAGCAGCCCCUAGCAGAGCUGCACCACCUCCGCAUGCAAGUCAGGCCACUGCUGCACAAGCAUUAGCACCACCCAUCCUUUCUCGGCCUUCGUGGCCGCGACAUCCUCGAGCGCGUGCCCAUCUGCCUCUGCACAUGUAGCACCAAGGCCCGCUCCGCCUCGCUUCAGACCACCCAACAUGCACAAGGAGGACGACGGGUGGAGCCGAAGCAGUUGUCGUUGCCGCACCUCCGCACAGACGGGCCUUGAUGUGCCGCUGUGCCCCCAAGGCCGCCCUGAUCUGAAAACGCCACGCAGGCCAACAGGACCUGCCAGACCUGCACGGCCACUGGAUCCAGCCACCACGUCAUCGGAUCUGGCCCCUAGGCCGCCAAAAGUGCAGCCGGAAGGGGAGGCCACCACCACGACAAAGCUCUAGGAGAGGCCCCCAUGGCGAGAAGAGGAGGGAAGAAGCCUCGCCGCCGCUUUCCUUGCGGCCACCGGUGUACGGAGGCACACUCCGGCGACGACAAGGUGGAGGGACGGCAGGAGGAGAGCCCCUAGCGGUGAGGCUGCUUGUUCCGCCCGAGCUGCCUGGGAGGGGCGACGCGGGGGAGAGACUCAGGGACUAGACGACAGUGUCAAUGGCUUGCUGCUACGAGGGCCAAUGGACCAUGAAGGGAUUAUUAAAUGGUGACUGAUAUUUAUAUGUCAUAAAUAUUUUAUACCGUGCGAGAGCACGGAUUGAUGGACUAUUGACUUAUAAUUUAGGAUGAAGUAUUUUAUACGACAUAAUUUGAAAUAUAUGCUCCCUGUCGUAAAAAAACAAAUCCAUAGAACUGUUGAAAAAAAGAACGCUUUGUGAUGCACAUGCUGCUCCUGUUACUAAACUAUUCGAUCCAUGGUCAUGGCAGACCUCCGGUGAGGGGGGCGAAGGUGGCCGCCACAAACACGCCACAGCUGUUGAGGUCUGGGAAAACUCUAGCACGCCGCGGCAGGAUGGUGUGUGGCGGCGGGGGCAAGGGUCAAAGAAGAAGACGUUGAAAAGGGGAAGAAGGCGGCUCGAUACAUAUGGACAACAAGAAAUGAUUGGAUCUUCAAAGGGCUGCAUCCCAAUGAGGCGAGCUGCAGAAGUGUUUUUGUCAAGGAACUCAACCUGGUAUCAUUCAGGGUUAAGCCAAGUGCACUCGAUAGAUUUGAAUUAUGGAUGCAAAAUAUUCAGAACAUUUAGACUCUUUGUAUUUCUUCUUCUUUUCUUUUCUAGUACCUUAGUCUUCAUGGUUGUAACCCCUCCUUGUUUUCGUUAUUAAUUUUCAAUAAAAUCUCUGUAGGGCCAAGGCCCCUCCAGUUCCUUAAAAAAAAGAAGACAGCUCGAGGUUGAAGAUGGCCGCGUGGCUAACAUACGCACAUUCAUGUGUUAGCCGCUCCCGUUUUGAACCGAGAGGGAGGAGACGGGAUCUUUUUUUUUUCCGAUGCGGACUCCGUCUCUUUUUUUUUUGGCCUCUCGUCUCUACAAAUUCUGGGACACGCGUCAAGCCCUCGGAAUUUAGGGCGACGUGGCCACUUCAAAAGAUCAGGGAGCAACAUAGAAUUAAAGAAGUUAAUUAAUAUGCUAAAAAAAUAAAGACAAGUACCUAGCGCUGAUGCAUGUACCAACCAGAGCAAGCACAAGUGGACCACUUGCCCCCGACUGACUAUUCAAAGCUUAGCUGGAAAUUUGGAAUUGUCUACCCAACACUUCCACGCUCACAUCUUGAGGCCUUGUUUAGUUUGUGAUUUUUUUUUUGCUUUGGCUACUAUAAUAUUUUUGUUAUUAUUUAAUUAUAUACUAAGUUCAAAAAACAUCUCAUAAAUUACUGACAAACUAUACAACUAGUUUAUAUUUUUAUUUAUAUUUAUGCUUCAUACAUAGGUCCAAAGAUUCAAUCUCUUGAAAAUUUUUGAAACUAAGCCAGACUUUAGCAGGCCUGAGGCCACGACCACUACUGCGUGUCCAAAAGCCAUACACGCAUGCAGGCCUGCUUGCGUUGCCUUCCCAAAAACACAAGGCAAUAGUGCAGGGACAGGGAGUGGCCCAGCGAGAAGAGAAGAGACCACCAUCCUCGCUCUCGCUCGUGUCUUCAAGUCAAGUCGCCGGGCCCCACUCCCACACCAUCCUUCCAGACGCAGUGCGCACGGCUGCCCUCUCAUUACUGGCUAUUAAAGGUUGGGUGGGCUGAUGAUUCGUCAAAGAAAAGAAAAAAGUUCGGCUGAUUGCAAGCACGGGGAAAUCUGUUGAAUCCUUAGGCUGCGCUACAUACAAAUCUCAUACUCCCACUAAGAUUUCGUUUUCUUUCUCGCUGCCCAAGUGAUGUCAACGAGCUAGAAGAGGAGCCGUGAGCAUGCUUGAGUAGGAAUGAAGGAACUAAAGAGACAGUGGUCCUCUUUCUCUGCUUUGCAGUUUGGUAAGCUCGAAUAUAAUUCUUCAGUUAUUAGACAACAAAGAUGCAGAUUUCGUCAUCUUCAUUCACUUAUGCCUGUUAUAUCUGCAUCUAUUGAUUGUGUCUGUGUCGAUUUAUUCUUGUUUUUGUUGGAUGUACAGCUGACUAAAGAGACCUGAUGCACUACAUACAUACUCUGACGAUCUGUCAUCAGGUACGCUAGCUUCUAUUCAACAUCGAUCCAACUCUCUGCUUAAUUGUUUUCUGUAUGCUAUGCUGGACAGACUUCCAUUAUCGAUCAUUCCUUCGCUUCGAACACGUCUGAUGCUAGCUUGCUUAAUUGUGUUUCCCUGUCUCGAUGCGCGCGAUAGCUGCUUCACAUCUACGCUGCUGCUGCUGCUGGUCGUACAUGGUGGAGGAUCGAAUCACUGUGAGUCGUGAUCCAUACAUUUGCCAUCUGUUGUCAGCAACUCAGCAUGCGACACCCUCGCCUGGCCUGACCAGAUCUAUGCUCAAUAAAAUCGGCCUCUUAAUUAAUAAGGAGGGCACAGGUAAGUGAUCGAUCCAGCUCAGGUUGCAUCUGCUCAACAGCUAGAAUCUAGCUGCUAGAUAGACAGUGUUCCAAGCUAAUGUAUGUGCACAUCGAUCUCCAUCGAUUUCUCAUGCGCAGGCCGCCUACCUUUGCUAAUUUGAAGGACCAAACUAAGAACAGAGAGAGAGAUCAGAUCAGAGGAGGGAGGAACCCGGCUCUCUCAACACUCACUGAGCGCGCCCAAGGACCGGAGGAGGACGAUAGAUCGAUGGCGGCCGCGGGCAUCGCAGUCAGCGUUUCCAUGGGGGCUCUGAAGCCUGUCUUGGAAAAGCUUGCCACGCUCCUGGGCGACAAGUACAAGAAGCUCAAGGGUCUACGGAAGGAGGUGUCCUUCCUCAUGGAAGAGUUAAGCGACAUGAAAGUCCUCCUUGAGAACAUGGACAAUGCUGAGGAUGAACUCAAUUCGCAGGCCAAGAAAUGGAGGAAAGAUAUAAUUGAUAUGUCAUAUGAUAUUGAAGAUUGCAUUGACAACUUCAUGGACCGUGUUGGGGAUGCCGAUGAUAAGGUGGGGAUCCUCAAGAAAGCUUCUCACUAUCUGAGAACUAUCAAGGAUCGGUACCGCAUAGCCAAUCAGAUCAAUGAGAUCAAGAGUCGUGUGAUGGAAGCAAGCAAACGCCGAGAUAGGUACAAUCUCAAUGUGUGCACCUCUGGUUCUACCACAAUAGUGGCUGUUGAUCCUCGCCUGACUGCACUUUACACGGAUUCAACAACCCUUGUGGGCAUUGGCACUCAAAAGGAAGAACUUGUCAAAUGGGUAGAGGAUGAAGAGAAACAACUAAAGGUGAUGUCAAUAGUAGGAUUUGGAGGUUUAGGCAAGACCACGCUUGCCAAUGAGGUAUAUCAUGACGUUGAAGGGCAUUUCAAUAGCAAGGCAUUUGUGCCAGUUUCUCAGAAGCCAGACGUACCAAGGCUACUUAGCAGUGUGUGUUCAAAACUUGGGGUGCUUCAAUCUUCUCAUGCUUGCGAAGUCCAAGAGCUAAUCGAUACUUUGAGAGAAUACCUGUGUGAUAAGAGGUACUCAUUUGUUCUCAUAUGUAGCAAUGAAUAUUUUAACUGUAACAAGUUCACCUUUAACAAGCAACUUACCUUAUCUUUCUAGCUAAAUCUAACCCUUUAUUUGUUCAAAGUUUUCCAAUGAAAGCAAAUUAGUUGUCUGAGUACUAGAGUUGGUACCAAGAAACAUUUAAUUUGUAACAACAUGCUCCCUUUAAGGUGCAGUAAUUCACACAUCCUCAUUGUAAUCUAGCUAAAUUUACUAGUCAUGCUGACCCCCGGCUACUACACGGGGUACGUAGUUAGUCGGAUUAGAAAUAAAUUUGGUGCCAAGAGUGAGACUUUGCUCAUAUUCUAAUAUAUUACCAGUGCAAUUAUACUGUAUACAUUUCUCCAGUCCAAUUCAUAACUGUCCCCUUAUCAAUACUUCCUAUAUAUAUAUGUUUAUCCUGUUGUGAUGCCUUUAGUUACAGUGGCUUUAGUUAUUUACGGUGUUACUUUAAUAAUACUAGAGGUGCUUCAUUUAGAUAACAAUGUAGGGAUUAUUUUUAAUAAUUUCAUAUAUAAGUAAUUCAUAUCAGUACUUAGGGAACUACUUUAGACCAUAGAAGAUGUGGGCAAUUUUGUAGAAAACGUAACAGAUCCAAUGGCCCUUGUUGUCAACGAUAUUUUUUAUAAAGUGUCUUUCUGAUUUUGUAAGAAUUUUAGGAAGUACCUUUGUUUUUUGUGUCUCAUGUGAAGACUUUUUUAGACUCGAAUUAGUAAAAGUAAUAUGGGUUUAGAAUGAUAGUAUGGAUUUCAGGAAUAAGCAAUAGUUUUCUUUUGUGUUUCAAUCACAGCAUAUUUGUACAUCGAGUCCAAAUUAUAUUACAGCAUAUUACAUUUUAGUGCAUAUACUAGAGUGCAUGUAGCUUUCUACACAAUUAUCAGUGUCUAUUUCGUGUCAAAUUUACCCCAUGUUAUUUUCGGAUACGUUCAUAGGUACCUCAUUGUACUUGAUGAUUUGUGGGAAGUGAAACAUUGGGAUAUCAUUAGUUGUGCUUUUCCAAAGAAUAGUCAACAAAGCAGGCUUAUUGUGACUACAAGAAUUGAAGGUGUGGCUCAGGCAUGUUGCAAGGACCAUGGGCGCAUUCAUUAUAUGAAACCACUAAGUGACGCGGACUCAAGAAAGUUAUUCUUUAGAAGGAUUUUUGGCACUGAAGAUACUUGCCCUCCUCAGUUCACAGAAGUUUCAUCUGAAAUUCUAAAGAAGUGCGGUGGUUUGCCACUUGCAAUUGUCACUAUGGCUAGCUCUUUAGCAGACCAACCCAAAGAGCACUGGGACUACAUACAACGUUCUAUAGUCACUGAAUCUGCAGCAAACUCCUUGGCUGACAUGAUGCAGAUCUUAGACCUGAGCUAUAAGCACCUUCCUCAUCAUCUAAGAGCAUGCUUUUUGUAUCUCGGUAUUUAUCCUGAGGACUACGAGAUUGAAAGGGAUCAGCUGAUUUACUUGUGGGUGGCAGAACGUAUUGUGACGAGCAAGUCUCCUAUGCAAGAUGUAAAGGAUGUAGCAGAGAGCUGUUUCAAUGAACUUGUCAAUAGGAACAUGAUUCAACCAGAAUCCUAUUACUACAGAGUACAUGAUAUGAUGCUCGAUCUAAUCAUAAAGAGGUGCAGAGAAGGUAAUUUUGUAAGUGUUGUGCACAGUGCACAGGUGGUGGUAGAACGGCAAGACAGGGUUCAUCGUCUGUCAGUCAGCUUGAGUGAUGUUCCAGAUGAUGACUCCAUAUUUCAGCUGGCCACUAAUUGCUGCCGAUCACAAGUUCGUUCUCUUGUCUUCCUUGGAGCAUCAAAAUGGAUGCCUCCACUGUUAGAGCUUAAGUCUCUUCGGGUGCUUUUCCUUCAAUUUCCGAAGCACCUGAAGACAAUGGACCUCACAGGUGUUGGCCAAUUGUCUCAACUGAGAUACUUAAAGGUUAAUGGGAUAUUCUAUUCAGAUACUUCUAUUGUGCUACCAAGUGAAAUUGGAAGGAUGCGACAUUUGGAGAGGCUGGAAAUACCUUAUACAUACAUUUGCAGCACUCCAUCAGAUAUUGUUGACUUGCCACGCUUGUCACAUCUCAUCUUGCCAGAGGAUACAAGUUUGCUAGACGGGAUUGGGAAGAUGAAAUCUCUGCGUACGCUGAGGUCAUUUUUAUUAGCAGAGAGCUCACCAGAGGAUAUUAAGGGCCUCAGCGAACUCAACAAGCUGGAAGACUUGCGGAUGAGUUGCCGCAGAAGCAGAAACAACCGCGAGCAUAGGCCGAAACGAGCCGAUGGUGAUACGCCGACAGCUAUAUGGAUGGAUGCUCUGAUUUUUUCCCUGGAGAAACUAAGUAACCUCAAAAGCUUUUUCCUGUCAUCUGAAUUUACUGCUGUCAAAGCCGAUGCCCUGCUCUUGCUUUCACCUCCUUUCCAAAAUCUCGAGGUGCUCUAUCUGCACGGACUGAUCUUCUCUAGAGUUCCUAGGUGGAUCGGAGGUCUCCAAAAGCUUUGUCGGUUGACACUCGGAGCAAAGCAGAUGACCCAGGAAGAUAUUAACAUCAUUGGAACACUGCCCUAUCUCACCGGCCUCCGGCUGCGGAUCUCAGGCAUGCCAACAGGCACGAUCGUGAUAGGUGGGACCACAGGGUUCAACGCUCUCGAGUUUUUUGUGUACGACUGUGAUGUUAUGUCAUAUCUGGCAUUUGAGGACGGAGCUAUGCCCAGCCUCCAGAAGCUUGGUUUACUACUGGAUCCACAUAAAUGGGACAAGGUUACACCUCUUGGUCUCCAAUGUCUUUCGAACCUCAAGAAAAUAACUGUAUGGACGGUUGCCACCAGUUAUAGCAACGACGCAGGAGCGGGUGACAAAGAAUCAGAGGAGAUGUCUGCGGCUGCUUUGGUCCGCAAGGUGUUUCAGGAAGCAGCCAACGCACAUCCGAGUCACCUAGCAU